UAGUCUGGUGCCAGCAGCCGCGGUAAUUCCAGCUCCAAUAGCGUAUAUUAAAGUUGUUGCAGUUAAAACGCUCGUAGUCGGAUUUCGGGGCAGGUUUGCCGGUCUGCCGAUGGGUAUGCACUGGUAGAACUGUCCUUCCUUCCGGAGACGGCGCCUACUCUUAACUGAGCGGGUGUCGGAGACGGAUCGUUUACUUUGAAAAAACCAGAGUGUUUCAAGCAGGCAGCUCGCUUUUGCAUGGAUUAGCAUGGGAUAAUGAAAUAGGACUUUGGUGCUAUUUUGUUGGUUUCGAACACCGAAGUAAUGAUUAACAGGGACAGUCAGGGGCACUCGUAUUCCGCCGAGAGAGGUGAAAUUCUUAGACCAGCGGAAGACGAACCACUGCGAAAGCAUUUGCCAGGGAUGUUUUCACUGAUCAAGAACGUAAGUUAGGGGAUCGAAGACGAUCAGAUACCGUCGUAGUCUUAACCAUAAACCAUGCCGACUAGGGAUUGGAGGAUGUUCCUAUGUGACUCCUUCAGCACCUUUCGGGAAACUAAAGUCUUUGGGUUCCGGGGGGAGUAUGGUCGCAAGGCUGAAACUUAAAGGAAUUGACGGAAGGGCACCACCAGGAGUGGAGCCUGCGGCUUAAUUUGACUCAACACGGGGAAACUUACCAGGUCCAGACAUUGUGAGGAUUGACAGAUUGAGAGCUCUUUCUUGAUUCGAUGGGUGGUGGUGCAUGGCCGUUCUU
rnacentral:rRNA from 1 species